rnacentral:rRNA from 1 species
AAAUAGAACUUUGCAGAGAGAGUUAACAGGGCGUGAAACCGUUAAUUGGCAAACGAAUCGGAGCCACGAAGUCGUUUCGUCGUUGAGUUGGACCCUGUUCAGCGAGUAUCCUCUUCACCGGGGGUACCCGUGUAUUCUGGGUUCGGCCAACUUUGUAAGCGUACACUGCAACUAGUUAGACGAUUGGCCAUGGGCACAGCCUGCGAGCUGAGCAAUCGGCUCGUUGGCGAAGCACUUGUUUGUGCGCGUUAGCAGCGGCGCUGCUGUGCCUCGGUGCAGUGGUGUUGCUUGACGCGUGCAAGUGAACUAUGGCCAAAUACUGACUAGCGAAAUGAAAACCGCUCCCUAGCGAGCGUUAGAGACAACACAGCCAACUGGACGGGCCUCUACGCGACCAACUGUUGGGUCUAAGCUCGGCGUUUUUGAAUUUAGACUUGCUUGCUACCAGUGGGGCAACUCCUGGUGCUUGUAUUGCUUCUAUCUAAUCGGGCGUUGACUUGGCCCAACAUCGUUUGAGCGCGCACCGAUAGGAGGUUCGUUCAAGCUGGUUUGUAACUUGAAUUGGCAGUGAGUAGGUCGGCUUUCCGAACGACCCGUCUUGAAACACGGACCAAGGAGUCUAAUUGGGCAUCGAGUCGAUCGGUCUUGACUAGGCCAGACGGGGGGACGCUCGUCGUCCCCCGAUUGAAGGCGUAGAGAAAUCAAAUCGUGUGAUCGCUCUGGCAACAACAGCCGGUGCGCGCAACAUGUGCCUGUUCGUGUAGUUGUGUUAGCAAUAACCAACUGAGCGGAGCAAAGAGAUGCCCGAUUGGGACC